UACGUAGGGUGCAAGCGUUAAUCGGAAUUACUGGGCGUAAAGCGUGCGCAGGCGGUUGUGCAAGACCGAUGUGAAAUCCCCGGGCUUAACCUGGGAAUGGCAUUGGUGACUGCACGGCUAGAGUGUGUCAGAGGGGGGUAGAAUUCCACGUGUAGCAGUGAAAUGCGUAGAGAUGCGGAGGAACACCGAUGGCGAAGGCAGCCCCCUGGGCCAAUACUGACGCUCAGGCACGAAAGCGUGGGGAGCAAACAGG
rnacentral:rRNA from 1 species